AGUGAACGCUGGCGGUAGGCCUAGCACAUGCCAGUCGAACGGCAGCACAGUAAGAGCUUGCUCUUACGGGUGGCGAGUGGCGGACGGGUGAGGAAUACAUCGGAAUCUACUUUUUCGUGGGGGAUAACGUAGGGAAACUUACGCUAAUACCGCAUACGACCUACGGGUGAAAGCAGGGGAUCUUCGGACCUUGCGCGAUUGAAUGAGCCGAUGUCGGAUUAGCUAGUUGGCGGGGUAAAGGCCCACCAAGGCGACGAUCCGUAGCUGGUCUGAGAGGAUGAUCAGCCACACUGGAACUGAGACACGGUCCAGACUCCUACGGGAGGCAGCAGUGGGGAAUAUUGGACAAUGGGCGCAAGCCUGAUCCAGCCAUACCGCGUGGGUGAAGAAGGCCUUCGAGUUGUAAAGCCCUUUUGUUGGGAAAGAAAAGCAGCAGGUUAAUACCCCGCUGUUCUGACGGUACCCAAAGAAUAAGCACCGGCUAACUUCGUG
rnacentral:rRNA from 1 species